rnacentral:rRNA from 1 species
CCUACGGGAGGCAGCAGUGGGGAAUAUUGCACAAUGGGGGAAACCCUGAUGCAGCGACGCCGCGUGAGUGAAGAAGUAAUUCGUUAUGUAAAGCUCUAUCAGCAGGGAAGAAAAUGACGGUCCCUGAGUAAGAAGCCCCGGCUAACUACGUGCCAGCAGCCGCGGUAAUACGUAGGGGGCAAGCGUUAUCCGGAUUUACUGGGUGUAAAGGGAGCGUAGACGGCAGUGCAAGUCUGGAGUGAAAGGCGGGGGCUCAACCCCCGGACUGCUCUGGAAACUGUACGGCUGGAGUGCAGGAGAGGUAAGUGGAAUUCCUAGUGUAGCGGUGAAAUGCGUAGAUAUUAGGAGGAACACCAGUGGCGAAGGCGGCUUACUGGACUGUAACUGACGCUGAGGAGCGAAAGCGUGGGUAGCAAACAGGAUUAGAUACCCCGGUAGUC